rnacentral:rRNA from 1 species
AGAACGAACGCUGGCGGCACGCCUAACACAUGCAAGUCGAGCGCCCAGCAAUGGGAGCGGCGGACGGGUGAGUAACACGUGGGAACAUGCCUUUCGGUACGGAACAACUGCGGGAAACUGCAGCUAAUGCCGUAUACGCCCUUACGGGGAAAGAUUUAUCGCCGAAAGAUUGGCCCGCGUCUGAUUAGCUAGUUGGUGAGGUAACGGCUCACCAAGGCUUCGAUCAGUAGCUGGUUUGAGAGAACGACCAGCCACAUUGGGACUGAGACACGGCCCAAACUCCUACGGGAGGCAGCAGUGGGGAAUCUUGGACAAUGGGGGAAACCCUGAUCCAGCGAUGCCGCGUGAGUGAUGAAGGCCUUCGGGUUGUAAAACUCUUUCGACGGGGACGAUAAUGACGGUACCCGUAGAGAAGCUCCGGCUAACUUCGUGCCAGCAGCCGC